GGCGGAUGUAGCCAAGUGGAUCAAGGCAGUGGAUUGUGAUACUC
rnacentral:tRNA from 1 species